rnacentral:tRNA from 2 species
UCCCCGAUAGCUCAACGGCAGAGCGGCUGGCUGUUAACCAGUAGGUUCGAGGUUCAAAUCCUCGUCGGGGAGCCA